rnacentral:rRNA from 1 species
GACGAACGCUGGCGGCGUGCCUAAUACAUGCAAGUUGAGCGCUGAAGGUUGGUACUUGUACCCACUGGAUGAGCAGCGAACGGGUGAGUAACGCGUGGGGAAUCUGCCUUUGAGCGGGGGACAACAUUUGGAAACGAAUGCUAAUACCGCAUAAAAACUUUAAACACAAGUUUUAAGUUUGAAAGAUGCAAUUGCAUCACUCAAAGAUGAUCCCGCGUUGUAUUAGCUAGUUGGUGAGGUAAAGGCUCACCAAGGCGAUGAUACAUAGCCGACCUGAGAGGGUGAUCGGCCACAGUGGGACUGAGACACGGCCCAAACUCCUACGGGAGGCAGCAGUAGGGAAUCGUCGGCAAUGGACGAAAGGCUGACCGAGCAACGCCGCGUGAGGGAAGAAGGGUUUCGGAUCGUAAAACUCUGUUGGUAGAGAAGAACGUUGGUGAGAGUGGAAAGCUCAUCAAGUGACGGUAACUACCCAGAAAGGGACGGCUAACUACGUG